AGCAGCCGCGGUAAUUCCAGCUCCAAUAGCGUAUAUUAAAGUUGUUGCAGUUAAAAAGCUCGUAGUUGAACUUCAGGCCUGGCUGGACGGUCCGCCCUCUGGGUGAGCACUGUCUGUGGUCGGGUCCUACCUUCUGGCGAAGCGGCAUGGCCUUAACCGGCCGUGGCGGGGAACCAGGACUUUUACUGUGAAAAAAUUAGAGUGUUCAAAGCAGGCACGCGCUUGAAUACAUUAGCAUGGAAUAAUGGAAUAGGACAAUGGUUCUAUUUGUUGGUUUCUAGGACCGUUGUAAUGAUUAAUAGGGAUAGUUGGGGGCAUUAGUAUUCAAUUGUCAGAGGUGAAAUUCUUGGAUUUAUUGAAGACUAACUACUGCGAAAGCAUUUGCCAAGGAUGUUUUCAUUAAUCAAGAACGAAAGUUAGGGAUCGAAGACGAUACAGAUACCGUCGUAGUCUUAACCAUAAACUAUGACCGACUAGGGAUCGGAUGAUGUUAAUUUUUAAUGUACUCUAUUCGGCGUCC
rnacentral:rRNA from 1 species